UCAAGCUACUAAGGGCAUACGGUGGAUGCCUAGGCGCCAAGAGCCGAAGAAGGACGCGGUAAGCUGCGAAAAGCCACGGGGAACUGCAAGCAAGUAUUGAUCCGUGGAUAUCCGAAUGGGGAAACCCGGCCAUCGUCAUGGAUGGUCACCCGCAAGGGAGGGAACCUGGGGAACUGAAACAUCUAAGUACCCGGAGGAAGAGAAAUCAAACGAGAUGCCCACAGUAGCGGCGAGCGAAGAGGGCAGAGCCCAAACCGAGAAGCUCCGGCUUUUCGGGGUUGAGGACCGGCAGAAUCGAAGUCAGGCCUAGUUGAAUUACCUGGAAAGGUAAGCGAGAGAGGGUAAAAGCCCCGUAGACGAAAGGCAGAGCAGAGAGGCCGAGAUCCAGAGUACCACGAAGCACGAGGAAUUUUGUGGGAAGCAGGGGGGACCACCCUCCAAGGCUAAAAACUACUUGGCGACCGAUAGCGCAUAGUACCGUGAGGGAAAGGUGAAAAGAACCCCGGGAGGGGAGUGAAAUAGUACCUGAAACCGUAUGUCUACAAGCAGUCGAAGCGAAAGCGACGGCGUGCCUAUUGAAGAAUGAACCAACGAGUUAUCUGCACUAGCGAGGUUAAGUGGAAGACACGGAGCCGCAGCGAAAGCGAGUCUUAAGAGGGCGCUAGUUAGUGUAGGUAGACCCGAAACCGCAGUGAUCUACCCAUGUCCAGGUUGAAGCGCAGGUAAAAUUGCGUGGAGGACCGAACCGGUGAGCGUUGAAAAGCUUUCGGAUGAGAUGUGGGUAGGGGUGAAAUUCCAAUCGAACGCGGAGAUAGCUGGUUCUCCCCGAAAUAGCUUUAGGGCUAGCCUGAGGUAGUAAGUAUAGGCGGUAGAGCACUGAUCGGGCUAGGGGCCGUAAAGGUUACCGAACCCUGUCAAACUCCGAAUGGAUAUACUGUAGAGCCUUGGAGUCAGACUACGAGUGAUAAGAUCCGUGGUCAAAAGGGAAACAGCCCAGACCACCAGCUAAGGUCCCCAAUGUCGUACUAAGUGGAAAAGGAUGUGGGGUUUCAUAAACAACCAGGAUGUUGGCUCAGAAGCAGCCACCAUUUAAAGAGUGCGUAAUAGCUCACUGGUCGAGAGACCCUGCGCCGAAGAUUCCCGGGGCUAAAGUACGAAACCGAAGCUGUGGCUGUAUACGUAAAGUAUACGGGGUAGGGGAGCGUUCCCAUAGGGUAGAAGUCGAACUGGAAGGUUCGGUGGACUUGUGGGAAGUGAGAAUGUUGGUAUGAGUAGCGAAAAGAAAGGUGAGAAUCCUUUCCACCGAAAGCAUAAGGAUUCCUGAGCAACGAUCGUCGUCUCAGGGUAAGUCGGGACCUAAUCCGAGGCAGAGAGCGUAGGAGAUGGACAACUGGUUGAUAUUCCAGUACCGGUAGUAAUUGUUUGAGCAAUGGAGUGACACAGAAGGGCAGGCAAGCAUGCGAAUGGAAGAGCAUGUGUAAGCGUGUAGGGUGGUGCAUAGGCAAAUCCGUGCACUGAAAGCCUGAGGCGUGAUGCGGAGUGAGCAGAGAUGCGAGCGAAGUUGUUGACCCCACACUGUCGAGAAAAGCUUCUAGUGAGAGAGCUACCGCCCGUACCGUAAACCGACACAGGUAUGCGGGGAGAGAAUCCUAAGGUGCGCGGGAGAACCCUCGUUAAGGAACUCGGCAAAAUGUACCCGUAACUUCGGGAUAAGGGUAGCCACUGUUGUGAAGUCCCAUGCGGAUGGAGCAUAGAGUGGUCGCAGAGAAGAGGCCCAAGCGACUGUUUACCAUAAACACAGGUGCCUGCUAAAGCGAAAGCUGACGUAUAGGUGCUGACACCUGCCCAGUGCCGGAAGGUUAAGGAAGGAUGUUCGGAGUAAUCCAAAGCAUUCGACUGAAGCCCCGGUGAACGGCGGCCGUAACUAUAACGGUCCUAAGGUAGCGAAAUUCCUUGUCGGGU
rnacentral:rRNA from 1 species